UCCUUAGUACGGCGAGUGAACCGGGAAGAGCUAAAUUUGAAAUCUGGCGUCCUCCGGGCGUCCGAGUUGUAAUCUAUAGAAGCGUUUUCCGCGCCGGACCGUGUAUAAGUCUCCUGGAACGGAGUAUCAAAGAGGGUGACAAUCCCGUGCUUUACACGAUGACCGGUGCUAUGUGAUACGUUCUCUACGAGUCGAGUUGUUUGGGAAUGCAGCUCAAAACGGGUGGUAAACUCCAUCUAAAGCUAAAUAUUGGUGGGAGACCGAUAGCGAACAAGUACCGUGAGGGAAAGAUGAAAAGCACUUUGGAAAGAGAGUUAAACAGUAUGUGAAAUUGUUGAAAGGGAAACGAUUGAAGUCAGUCGUGUCCAUUGGGUUCAGCCGGUCCUGCCGGUCUACUCCCUUUGGACGGGUCAACAUCAGUUCUGACCGGCGGAUAAUGGCACGAGGAACGUGGCACCCUCCGGGGUGUGUUAUAGCCUCGCGUCGCAUACGCUGGUCGGGACUGAGGAACGCAGCUCGCCUUCAUGGCCGGGGUACGCCCACGUACGAGCUUAGGAUGUUGACAUAAUGGCUUUAAACGACCCGUCUUGAAACACGGACCAAGGAGUCUAACAUAUCUGCGAGUGUUUGGGUGUCAAACCCGAGCGCGUAAUGAAAGUGAACGUAGGAGGGAUGCGCAAGCAGCACCUUCGACCGAUCCG
rnacentral:rRNA from 1 species